UACACUCCUGCGGGAGGCAGCAGUGGGGAAUAUUGGACAAUGGGCGCAAGCCUGAUCCAGCCAUGCCGCGUGAGUGAUGAAGGCCCUAGGGUUGUAAAGCUCUUUCACCGGUGAAGAUAAUGACGGUAACCGGAGAAGAAGCCCCGGCUAACUUCGUGCCAGCAGCCGCGGUAAUACGAAGGGGGCUAGCGUUGUUCGGAUUUACUGGGCGUAAAGCGCACGUAGGCGGACUAUUAAGUCAGGGGUGAAAUCCCGGGGCUCAACCCCGGAACUGCCUUUGAUACUGGUAGUCUUGAGUUCGAGAGAGGUGAGUGGAAUUCCGAGUGUAGAGGUGAAAUUCGUAGAUAUGCGGAGGAACACCAGUGGCGAAGGCGGCUCACUGGCUCGAUACUGACGCUGAGGUGCGAAAGCGUGGGGAGCAAACAGGAUUAGAUACCCGAGUAGUCCCA
rnacentral:rRNA from 1 species